rnacentral:rRNA from 5 species
AAACGACUCUCGGCAACGGAUAUCUCGGCUCACGCAUCGAUGAAGAACGUAGCAAAAUGCGAUACUUGGUGUGA